CCUACGGGUGGCUGCAGUAGGGAAUCUUCCACAAUGGGCGAAAGCCUGAUGGAGCAACGCCGCGUGGGUGAAGAAUGCCUUCGGAUUGUAAAACUCUGUUGUUAGAGAAGUAAGUGUGUGAGAGUAACUGUUCACGUUUCGACGGUAUCUAACCAGAACGCCACGGUUAACUACGUGCCAGCAGCUGCGGUAAGACGGAGGUGGCAAGCGUUAUCCGGAUUUGUUGGGCGUAAAGGGAACGCAGGCGGUCUUUUAAGUCUGAUGUGAAAGCCUUCGGCUUAACCGUAGUAGUGCAUUGGAGACUGGGAGACUUGAGUGCAGAAGAGGAGGGUGGAACUCCAGGUGUAGCGGUGAAAUGCGUAGAUAUAUGGAAGAACACCAGUGGCGAAGGCGGCUCUCUGGUCUGUAACUGACGCUGAGGUUCGAAAGCGUGGGUAGCAAACAGGAUUAGAUACCCCAGUAGUC
rnacentral:rRNA from 1 species